UUUAAAGCGGGAGGGAAACUCAAGGGUCGCCUAAACCAAUUCAACAAGCCCAUAAUCCCGAAUUCAGGAAUUUGUCACGUCACUUGAGAUCAGAAUGAAGUUAAGUUUCGAUCCCUUUGAGAUCUCUUAGCGCACAAAGUCAGGCUAUCAUUACAAGAGGAGUCCGACCCUGGCUGUAGGAAAACGACUCGGUGCGGAACUCGAGUCUCUUCCGGCCACUGUGUGGGGCCGCACCAGUCAGGUCCAGCGAGGAGCUGGGGCGCGAGUUUGGGGGCGCAGCCGGGCCCGGCGGGGGCGGCGAGCGCGCGUCCCCCCGCCCGCUCAGGCAGCGUCGAGGCGCGAGCAGCUCAGCCAGCCUUGCAGAGGGAGCUCUCGGCAGCUCUGGGGUCUCUCUGCUCGCAGCCGCAGCAGCGCCGCCUGCGCCACUCGGCGGAGACGUAGACCAGAGGCGGCGGCGCGCGGACUGGGAGCGACCGCAGAGCAGCCGAGCGGCAGGGGUACGCUCGCAGAGCGGCCGGGGAUGCACCUGCGGACUUUACCCAACUUGCAAUGAUGAAGUUCACCUACCACAGACUGGAGGAUGUUCUGGUGGCUCAGGGAGGAGAGCCUUUGGUACUGAUGGGAACUGACUGAGGUCUGUAUUCUGAACUCCCUUACUUUCGAUAUCACGGAUAACAAGCAGACCCAGCAUCAAGGAGACAGCUUCUGCGCUAUUCAGCAGAUUGUUUCAUUAUGAGGAUGCCAGCCCAAUAUUGACAGAUUUUUCUGGGUGUUUCUGAAAAAGGAAAUCAGACGGGCGCCUGUGUGGUACAGUCGAAUAAGCGUCUGACUUUGGCUCAAGUCAUGAUCUUGGCGGUUCGUGAGUUUUAGCCUCGCAUUGGGCUUUUGUGCUGGCAGCUCCAAGCCUGGAGCUUGUUUUGGAUUCUGUGUCUCCUGCUCUCUCUGCCCCUUACCUGCUCAAGCUAGGUCUCUCAAAAAUAAACAUUAAAAAAAAGGGGGGGGGAUCAGAAAUCUAGAUUUUUGUAAUGUAAAUCUUCAGAUAUUUAGAUGUUAGCAACUAAAUCAGAUGUUUUUAAAAUGCAUAAGGUUGAUUAAACCAUUCGUGUGGGCUGUCAGUGUAUGGCCUCUGACUUGGAGAGGAGAAUGAAGAGAAAUUCCAAGGCCAGAUCCUAGACACUCCAGCAUUUAGAAAUAGGUAGGGUAAUGAAGGAGAAUGAGAGGGAGCAGCCAGGAAGGCAAGAAAGAAAUCCACAAGACUGUUGAGUUUGGAACCCAAGGGCAGAGAAGGUUUAGGGUAGGGAGGAGUGGUCAACUGUGCCUAGUGCUGCUGAGAGGUCAGCUUGGGCCAGAGACAUGGCUGUUGGACUGGUCACCUUGGAAGUCACUGGACAAUAUCAAUGGUGACUGGCUUGAUUCAUGUUGGUAAAUCAACAGAUGCAGAUCUCACUAGAAUGAGUUUGAAGAGUGAAUGGAAAAGUAAGGGAAUAGAGAUAGCACACAUAAGCAAGAUGAGAAGUUUUGUUGUGAAGGGAGCAAAGAAAUUUAGGGAUAAAUGGAAGGUAAUGGGUCAAGGGAGGAGAUGUUUUAAAACAUGAUAGAGUUCUUGAUUGUGUUUAUGUGCCAUUGGGAGUGAUACAGGAGAGAGAAGGCUUGCUUGACUUACAUAGGAAUGAAACCCAUGAGAGGAUAUAAGGGAACGGAGAACUGACCUCAGGAACAGGAUGCUUCUGCUGUGAAGUAACGAAGGUGAAGAUGGAUGCAAAUGCUGGGGAGAGGAAAAGCAAGCUUACAGCUUUCCUGAGUAGGACUGCCUUGUCAGCAUUGGGUACCCAUUUGAAGUUUGUGAUCAUGACUUUAAAGUUAAACCAGUUGGCCCAGUAUGUGGUUUUUUUCCAGCAACAUUCAGCUGCUUGGGUGCAGACAUGCAGAAAAGGGAUAAUUUGGUUUCUCAACACCAGUCCUAAGUUUUCUGGUUCCUAAUCUCAGGUACUUGAUUUAUGUGACUAGCUAAUAUUCUAGAAAUAUGUGAAUAUUUGGAAAAUUUACAUGUGACCCCUUUUACUAGAAACCAAAUGAUCCCAUUUGUCUUUUAUGUACACCUGAGGACUCAAAAAUAAAACCCUCAAACUUAGAGGGAAAUUACCAUAUACCUCCAGAA